UACGUAGGGGGCUAGCGUUGUCCGGAUUUAUUGGGCGUAAAGAGCGUGUAGGCGGCCAGGUAGGUCUGGUGUGAAAACUCGAGGCUUAACCUCGAGAUGUCAUCGGAAACCAUUUGGCUAGAGUCCGGAAGAGGAAAGUGGAAUUCCUGGUGUAGCGGUGAAAUGCGCAGAUAUCAGGAAGAACACCAAUGGCGAAAGCAGCUUUCUGGGACGGUACUGACGCUGAGACGCGAAAGCGUGGGGAGCGAACAGGA
rnacentral:rRNA from 1 species